rnacentral:lncRNA from 1 species
AUGACGUGUUUGCCAUCAGCUCAUUCAGUCUCAAAGCUGCGUGACUGGUGCACCUCUGAGGUGACCCGGGAUUCCCUUAAACUCCUUCAGAGCAGCUUCAGAUUCGUCAGUCAUCCACAGCUCAGCAGGAAGUCGUCCGGAGCACCGACCAGAUCUCAGUCCGGGGAGGGAGGUGGGAUUCCCGGCGGCAGGCAAACUGUCCCGGCCUGGUCACCGCUCGGUUCCUGCGGACGGUAAAGUGGGUCAGCGUCGCUCUCAGCUGAGCAGCUGAUGAGUGUUUGUGAUCGCUGUAUGUCAACGCUGAUGAGUCCUAACAUCACUUCCGCUACCUGGAUUUUCAAAAUAAAACACCACUUUCUUUUAAUUUCUUUAAAACAUUUACAUCUUAUUAGUCACCACUUCAAACUUGUUGCAGGUGAUUUUACGAUAAAUCGAGUUUAACGUGUAACCAUUAAAUGUUAACAGGGGAUCUAUCAACUUCCAGUUCCACUCUACCUGCAAAUAUGGAUCAGAUGUUGUUUUAUCAUCCAAAAUCUGAUUUUUCUCCCACUGCAUUGAAAAAUAGAAAUAAAAUAAACUCAGAAAUUAGAUUUAGUUUUUUUUAAAGAAAUAUUUGUCAAAAUAUGAUUUCAAAUUUAAAAAAAUAUGUUGUAUUUUUCAAAUUAAAAAUUAAAGCAUUAAAAAACUAAACAUAUCUGACUCCAAUUACACAUGUCCCAAAUUUUAUGUAGAUUUUGUGUAAAAUUAAUUAAAUUAUUUAAAAAAUAAUAAACAAUAAGCAUUCAUAUAUUAUCCCCACACCCAAGAAUAAUUUGUUAACACUCCAUAAAUCUUUUAACAUCCAUUAAUUCUAUUUUUUAAAUCAAUAAUUCUUAAGUUUUCAUAGUCAUUUAUAUUUAUAAAAACAAGAAACUGAGUGAAAUCAUUUUUUUCUAGAAAUAUUAAAGUGUUUUAAAGGCCUGUGUUUUUAUUUAGUUAAAAUCUACUUUCCUAUGUUUUAGUCACUCCUAAAGGGAUUGAGUUUUAUUUUGUGUUUUGUGAAAAUUUUUGCUGUAUCAUCAGUACAAGAAAAUUUAAUAGAAGAAAUGCGACUCUUUAACAAGAAUAAACAUUAUUUUAUUUGACAAAAAAAAAUUCCAGAUGAGAUCAAACUUUAUCGAUCCCAACGUGUCAACAAUAGAUACGGUUCGUUGUGCAGAUGCAGAGCAAAGGUCAUUAAGCAAAGAGGCAGAAGGGGGUGCAAUGGUACCAUGGGUCCAAACAAUGCAAACUUGUUAUUUACUGAACUUUUUAGGUGUUUGCAUAUUUUAUCAAUAAAGAAUGACUGUGUGUGUCAGGGUGACUAUCUCAGUGAGAG